rnacentral:rRNA from 1 species
GAUGAACGCUGGCGGCGUGCCUAAUACAUGCAAGUCGAGCGAACGGACGAGAAGCUUGCUUCUCUGAUGUUAGCGGCGGACGGGUGAGUAACACGUGGAUAACCUACCUAUAAGACUGGGAUAACUUCGGGAAACCGUAGCUAAUACCGGAUAAUAUUUUGAACCGCAUGGUUCAAAAGUGAAAGACGGUCUUGCUGUCACUUAUAGAUGGAUCCGCGCUGCAUUAGCUAGUUGGUAAGGUAACGGCUUACCAAGGCAACGAUGCAUAGCCGACCUGAGAGGGUGAUCGGCCACACUGGAACUGAGACACGGUCCAGACUCCUACGGGAGGCAGCAGUAGGCAAUCUUCCGCAAUGGGCGAAAGCCUGACGGAGCAACGCCGCGUGAGUGAUGAAGGUCUUCGGAUCGUAAAACUCUGUUAUUAGGGAAGAACAUAUGUGUAAGUAACUGUGCACAUCUUGACGGUACCUAAUCAGAAAGCCACGGCUAACUACGU